CGCGAUUCUGGAUUUUAACCCGGGCUAUCGCCUAGUGGUAAAGGGGGGGACUUGCUCAAGCCAAUUUUGAAGGCACUGAUUUUAAUUUCGUAAGUAGGGCAAUCACUGGGAUUUAUAAUUGGGCAAAAUACACUUAUCUAGAAGGUUAAGUCCCAACUUUCUUCUAGCUCACAAUAAAUGAAAGAGAAGCAUAUAAAUCAAAAAGUAUCAAUGCUAAGCCAAUAUUUUAUACUCGUGUGUAUGCAAUUGAUAAGCACAUGAAGUAUAAGAGUCCCAAAAAGUAAGCAAAUUUUUAGAAAAAAGAUUUAUGAGCAAAUUUUCUAAGAAGCACAUGCACAAAUAAGGACACACGUAUGCAUAUAAGUCACACACGCGAUUUCUUGAAAAAGUAGAACGCACACACGACAUGUCAAAUAAUAUAUAUAUUAAGUU
rnacentral:lncRNA from 1 species